GAGAAGCAGGCCCCCAAGGAGCAGGGAGCCUGAUGCGGGACUCGAUCCCAGGACCCUGGGACCAUGACCUGAGCCAAAGGCAGAUGCUUAACCAUCUGAGCCACCCAGGCGCCCUGCAUGGCUUUAUUUCUAUAUAAAGAUUAAAGGUGGAAUCCAUAUGUGAUGGCAAGAACAGUAGCAGCCACCUUGGAGUCAAAGAUGGAUGUCAUGUCUGGACGAUGAUAGCAUCAACUUAUCUUUGAUCUGUUACAAGAUCUUUCACAUCGGAGCAUAUUUACUUGCCUCAUUAUUUUUGAUACGUAUUACUCCAUGGUAUGUGAAGUGAGAGACUAUCUCAUUCCAGUAACUCAGUAUCCUUUGAGAAUUUGACCCCUCACUCUGACCCCAUGUGAAUCUAGUGGGGUGUCAGUCAUGGGGUCCAGAGUCCCUGAUGACAAGAAUUGACUUGAUGACAAG